ensembl:lncRNA
UAGUCAGCCAGUGCCAAGCAAAUUCAUUUCAUCUAAAAACUAAAAGCUUGAAAUGGUCUCUUUUAUUGGACACAACCCCUCAGAUCAGAACACCUCCACCACCCAGCGUGUGGAGGAGUUCCCACUGCAGGAUCUGCCUGAACUUCUGGGUGUGACCGCUGGUGUCAACCCCUCUGAGGAUGGAUGUUGCUCAGCGGAAUCUGAGUCUGAUUCAGCUCAGCAGAAGCAGAGAGAUGUUCGCCUCAUACAAGCAUCAGUGUCCCAGCACUUCCCAAAGCCACCGUUAGAUCUGGACCAGAACCUUCAGCAGCACCUGUUCAAUGUGCAGGAGACUGUGCGCAAUGAGCUCAUGAGGCUGAGUCCCGAGCUGGAGAAAAUGGGUUUGAUUGGAUGUCUGAUUGAUUGCUACCAUCGUCAUACACUUGAUCACAUCAGUGAUCUAUUCAAGAAUGUCCAGUCCUGCAAGAAAUCCUUUGAGCUGAUGAAGUGGAUCCUGCAUCCUUAUCUGAGUCAGGAGCUGCUCAGUCAUCCUGACCUUCAAGAAAAUGCUCCCAUAAUAAAAGUUGACUUCCCGCUGUCGACAGAAUUGGUGGCAAAAGCAGAGAACCUUCUGCUUGAAAAUGUGCCGGUAAAAAUAGUAAAUUAAUAAUGUUUGCGGUGCUAAUAUAUAUAUAUAUAUAUAUAUAUAUAUAUAUAUAUAUAUAUAUAUAUAUACACACACACACACACACACACACACACACACAUACACACAUAUAUAUAUAGUUUCCGUAUCUCUUUUUGUCCCCAGAAAGAGAUCAGAAAAUGUCUGGAUGAAAUCCUGCUGAUUCACAGAAACCAAGACAUUUGUGACAGUGAGGAAUCUUGCAUUGGACUUUACGUGGACAUUAUUCAGGUACUUAGUAAUGCAGAUGUUUGGGACCACGGGAAAUGAUUCAGUUUAAUUUAUGUGUACAGGUAACUUUGUAAAUAUUUAUUUGCCUUUUUAAAUACAUUCAUUUGGCUGUUUAUUUGUUGUACAAUAACAAUUCCUUUUUUUAUUCCCUUAAAGGUAGUCAAUGACAUGCCUGAAAAAGCUCAGCAAAUCAACCCAAAACUGUCUCAUGAUAUCCGAGAAGUUUGUUUCCAAGAGCUGAAGAUGUUUCUGGGGAGGUGAGAAUCUAUUUUUACUUCAGGAAUUAAUAACUUACCUGCAAAUCUUUGAACAAAAUUAUGCAUUUAGAAAAAUUAACAUUUUUAGAUUUGAUCAUGAUUAUCUGAUCUUUGACUUGUAGGUACACCUCUGAGCAGACUAAGUUUCUCAGAGUAAAAGCCAAAAAGGCCAUACCAAACAAGAUACACUUCUUCAAGAUUCUGAAAACUUGUAAAGAAAUUAAGUGAGUAUUUGAGUAUUUCUGUCUCUCUGCCAAAUGGUGGCGUGGUGUGGAGGGGUAACAGGUCGGUGACCUGAAGAUCGCAUCAGUGCUUUUUGCAGAUGAUGUGGUCUUGAUGACACCAUCGGCUUUAGACCUACAACGCUCACUGGAUCGGUUCGCAGCUGAGCGUGAAGCAGCAGGGAUGAGGAUCAGCACCUCUAAAUCUAAGGCCAAGGUUCUUAGUAGGAAACCGGUGGAUUGCCUACUCCGGGUGGAGAAUGAGUCCUUGUCCCAAGUAAAGGAGUUCAAGUACCUUGGGAUUUUGUUAACGAGUGAGGGGAUGAUGGGGCUUGAGAUCGACCGGAGAGUCGGAGCAGCGCAUGC